UACGUAGGGUGCAAGCGUUAAUCGGAAUACUGGGCGUAAAGCGUGCGCAGGCGGUUUUGUAAGUCUGUCGUGAAAGCCCCGGGCUCAACCUGGGAAUUGCGAUGGAGACUGCAAGGCUUGAAUCUGGCAGAGGGGGGUAGAAUUCCACGUGUAGCAGUGAAAUGCGUAGAGAUGUGGAGGAACACCGAUGGCGAAGGCAGCCCCCCUGGGUCAAGAUUGACGCUCAUGCACGAAAGCGUGGGGGAGCAAACAGG
rnacentral:rRNA from 1 species